rnacentral:rRNA from 1 species
AUGAUUCCCCCUUCAGACGAGGAGAUUUUUGAAACAGUUUGUACUGCUAACACCAAUUCGGCCUCGGGCCCUGACGGAUUCUCCAUCCCUUUCUUUAGGAAAUUCUGGCCCCAACUUUGGGGCCUCCUCCUUGCAAUCAUCCAAGGUUUCUGGUUGGGAACCGUGGAUAUCUCUCGCCUAAACUACGCUGUCCUCACUCUCAUACCUAAAGUUAAAGGGGCUGACAAGAUUUCUCAGUUCAGACCUAUUGCCCUCAUCAAUAACUUCGCUCAGUUUUCGACAAAAGGUUUUGCUACUAGGCUAUCCCCCAUCACUCACCGUACCCUCGGUCCUUUCCAAUCGGCCUUUGUCAAAGGCAUGUUCAUCCUGGACGACAUCCUAUGUUCGCAUGAGAUCGUCCAUGACUUGCGUGUUCGUGGUACUAGAGCGGUGAUCUUUAAGCUUGAUUUUGAGAAAGCUUACGAUUCGGUCAGUUGGAACUUUCUUUGUCAGGUGUUGCUAGCCAAGGGCUUUGAUGGGGCUGUGGUGCACAGACUUAUGCAGCUGGUCACAGUUGGCCACACCGCGAUUUCGGUAAACGGGAAUAUCAGUAAUUUUUUCACCAACCGCAGGGGCCUAAGGCAGGGUGACCCGACUUCCCCCUUCUCUUUAACUUCGUGGCUGACUCUCUCUCCCACAUCCUGA